rnacentral:rRNA from 1 species
UACGUAGGGCGCAAGCGUUGUCCGGAAUUAUUGGGCGUAAAGAGCUCGUAGGCGGCUUGUCACGUCGAUUGUGAAAGCCCGAGGCUUAACCUCGGGUCUGCAGUCGAUACGGGCUAGCUAGAGUGUGGUAGGGGAGAUCGGAAUUCCAGGUGUAGCGGUGAAAUGCGUAGAUAUCUGGAGGAACACCGGUGGCGAAGGCGGCAUCCUGGACCGAGAUUGACGCUGAGGCGCGAAAGCCAGGGGAGCAACGGG